rnacentral:pre_miRNA from 1 species
AACAGUAAGAGUUAAUGUGCUGGGUUCUCAAUCAGCACGUAGGCUCUUACAGUACA